UACAGAGGUCUCAAGCGUUGUUCGGAUUCAUUGGGCGUAAAGGGUGCGUAGGCGGCGCGGUAAGUCGGGUGUGAAAUCCCGGAGCUUAACUCUGAAACUGCAUUCGAUACUGCCGUGCUUGAGGACUGGAGAGGAGACUGGAAUUUACGGUGUAGCGGUGAAAUGCGUAGAUAUCGUAAGGAAGACCAGUGGCGAAGGCGGGUCUCUGGACAGUUCCUGACGCUGAGGCACGAAGGUCAGGGGAGCAAACGGG
rnacentral:rRNA from 1 species